rnacentral:rRNA from 1 species
AGUCUGGCCUGCCCAAUGAUGAUUUUAAUGGCUGCAGUAUCCUGACUGUACAAAGGUAGCAUAAUAAUUUGUCUUGUAAUUGAAGAAUGGAAUGAAUGGUUUGACAAAGGUGUGGCUGUCUCUUAUAUAUUUGUUUGAAGUUAAUUUCCAGGUUAAAAAGCUUGGAUGAAAUUAAAGGACGAGAAGACCCUAUUGAGCUUAAAUUAACAGUAGUGUUAAUAGGAUAUAGGUUUGAGAUUUGUUUAAAAAAUUGUAUAGUUUUAGUUGGGGCGACUAAGGAAUAGGUAAAGCUUCCUUUAAGAGUGGUUUGGAAAGUUGUUUAUUAAUCCAAUUGUUUUGAAUUAAGAUCAAGCUACCAUAGGGAUAACAGCGUUAUCUUUUUUGAGAGUUCUUAUCGAUAGAAGGGAUUGCGACCUCGAUGUUGGAUUAAGGUUUAAUAAAGGUUGUAGAAGCUUUUAUGAUUAGUCUGUUCGA